AGAUUAAUACCGCAUAAGAUUGUAGCUUCGCAUGAAGUAGCAAUUAAAGGAGCAAUCCGCUAUGAGAUGGGCCCCGCGGCGCAUUAGCUAGUUGGUGAGGUAACGGCUCACCAAGGCGACGAUGCGUAGCCGACCUGAGAGGGUGAUCGGCCACAUUGGGACUGAGACACGGCCCAGACUCCUACGGGAGGCAGCAGUGGGGAAUAUUGCACAAUGGGGGAAACCCUGAUGCAGCAACGCCGCGUGAGUGAUGACGGCCUUCGGGUUGUAAAGCUCUGUCUUCAGGGACGAUAAUGACGGUACCUGAGGAGGAAGCCACGGCUAACUAC
rnacentral:rRNA from 1 species